CCUACGUGAGUCAGCAGUGAGGAAUAUUGGUCAAUGGGCGCGAGCCUGAACCAGCCAAGUAGCGUGAAGGAUGACUGCCCUACGGGUUGUAAACUUCUUUUAUAAAGGAAUACAGUGAGGCACGUGUGCCUUUUUGUAUGUACUUUAUGAAUACGGAUCGGCUAACUCCGUGCCAGCAGCCGCGGUAAUACGGAGGAUCCGAGCGUUAUCCGGAUUUAUUGGGUUUAAAGGGAGCGUAGAUGGGUUGUUAAGUCAGUUGUGAAAGUUUGCGGCUCAACCGUAAAAUUGCAAUUGAUACUGGCAGUCUUGAGUACAGUUGAGGUAGGCGGAAUUCGUGGUGUAGCGGUGAAAUGCGUAGAUAUCACGAAGAACUCCGAUUGCGAAGGCAGCUUACUAAACUGCCACUGACAUUGAUGCUCGAAAGUGUGGGUAUCAAACAGGAUUAGAUACCCGAGUAGUC
rnacentral:rRNA from 1 species